rnacentral:lncRNA from 1 species
GUUUAAACAGAAAACUAAAAGCAAACCUGAUAAAUGUUUGUUCUGCAUUUUACAACUGACAUUAUUUUGGAGGUAUUUCUGUUAAAAAAUAGCAAUAUUAUACAACUGCAUUCGGGGUAGGAAUCUGCCCUGCAAAAUGUACCAGUGUUUAUGAAGGGCAUGUGGUGACCUUAACCCAAGGCAAGAGACUGCAGGUGCAAGGUGAGGAGGUGUAGAUGAAAGGGAAGUGAUGAAGGUGGUUCAGGUCCCCUAGCAGCUGGGGCUCUGUGUGAGGUUGGGUGUUCUGCUUAGACCUGUGGAGUAGCAUGCUGGCCACAGCCACUGCCCUGCAAGAUGGGACAAGAGCUGGAAGGGAGGCACCUGCCCUUAUAAUCAACACUCUGAGUAGAUGGAGAGAAGGUCUUCAUGUGGCCAGGCAAUUAGCAAUGCCAUCUGAAAUCCAGUGA